CAGCAGCCGCGGGAAUACGGAGGAUCCAAGCGUUAUCCGGAAUCAUUGGGUUUAAAGGGUCCGUAGGCGGUCUUGUAAGUCAGUGGUGAAAGCCCAUCGCUCAACGGUGGAACGGCCAUUGAUACUGCAGGACUUGAAUUAUUGGGAAGUAACUAGAAUAUGUAGUGUAGCGGUGAAAUGCUUAGAGAUUACAUGGAAUACCAAUUGCGAAGGCAGGUUACUACCAAUUGAUUGACGCUGAUGGACGAAAGCGUGGGUAGCGAACAGGAUUAGAGACCCCUGUAGUCCCUGUCUCUUAUAC
rnacentral:rRNA from 1 species